CAGCAAGGUUUUGAUCAUUUAGAGGCCUUAGAAAUUAAGAUAUCAAAUAUGAUACAGUAUAAGAUGUAUAUUGGUAAGACAGUUACUUAGUUUGUCAGUGCAAAAACAUGUUCUUUAUCUGGGUAAGAUGCGCUAUGCUGAACUUAUAUUACUGACCAACAUUUAUUAGACUGUUAAAUCAGCCAUAAAAGUCAUCAGACGGGAUGUGAAGUCAAUCAUCUUGAUUUAUGUUGGCUUGGUGUUAAAGUGUGGAGUAGCUUAAAGGCCGCGCGAAAUGCACACAGAAUAUGGCACGUGCCAGCCAGGUGGCUCUCUGGGCGCGAGCUUGGUUGACUGGAGUAAGGCGCGUCAUCCAUCUCUCCUGCUCUGACUAGAUUACCGGAGUCUUCGGCCUUCGCUCACUACGGCGAUGUGGGAGCGGCCCAUAACGACGAAAAACAGCCAUAUGGUGUCUCUCCUGCAAGUUACUACCUGAUGCUGUUGCUGAUCAAGAGCAUGCUUCUUAAAUAAAACUGCAGUAAGCAAAAAUGAUGGACUGAUAAUGUUUUAAGCGAAUGAGGGAAUUGGAACAACAUGAUAGCUGCAUUCGCACCCCUUCAGGCAGGUUCCCUGGGGAACACGCUCUACUACAGUCUUCCCCCAUCCACUCCACAGUUCUGAGAUUCACAGAGAUGAUAACACACUCUGUGCUGGAAUACGGUGUGUAGCUGCAGCGGUUAGGAAGAAUGAAUCAUGGAGUUGCUGGAAGGACUGGAGGAAGCUACUGGGAUAAGCAGGAAUGAUAACAGACGAACAGGAUCUGGAGGCAGCACUCAAUCCCGAGUCCAGAGGGUGGAGGAGACGCUGUGAUGUGUCCGUGGUUGUGGUGGGUUCACGCUGAGCAGGGAGAUUGAAGAGGGAUACUCCAGAGCACACUCUCCAUGAGCAAGGGAGGAAAGAGGAAAAAGAGAUCUGUGAUGUGGUGAGAUGAAGGAGAAGGAGGGAUAGAUGAUGUGGUGCAGCGGGUGGGGACACUCUCGUAAGCUGGAUGAUCACAGUCAAACUGCCCCCCCUCCCUGUCUGCAGCCUCACUCCAAAACAUCCCUAACAGAUCAAUCCAUUACUUACUGAAACACACCAUGGCCUGUCUGUGAUUUUUGUCUGGUGGUCACGCUGAGAGAAUACGAGUUUCUCUACAGUUCUCAAAGCAAUAAAUGUGAGCAGAAAAUGAGAGGUAAUAUUAUAUCAACAUGACAUGGAAAGGUAAUGUUUUGUCUUUUGGUUUUGUCUUAAGUAAAUAAGUCAAAUUUAGCUCUUGUCCGGUUUGUUUUGCUCAGUCAUGGC